CAGGGAAUAUUGUGCAAUGAGCGAAAGCUUGACACAGCGACACCGCGUGUGGGAUGACGGUUCUAGGAUUGUAAACCACUUUCAGGAGGGAAGAAAUGACGGUACCUCCACAAGAAGACCCGGCCAACUAUGUGCCAGCAGCCGCGGUAAUACAUAGGGGUCAAGCGUUGUCCGGAUUUAUUGGGCGUAAAGAGCUCGUAGGCGGUUCAACAAGUCGGUCGUAAAAGUUUAGGGCUCAACCCUAAAACGUAGAUCGAUACUGUUGUGACUAGGAUACGGUAGAGGUGAAUGGAAUUCCGAGUGUAGCGGUGAAAUGCGUAGAUAUUCGGAGGAACACCAAUUGCGAAGGCAGUUCACUGGACCGUGAUCGACGCUGAGGAGCGAAAGCUAGGGGAGCAAACAGGAUUAGAUACCCUGGUAGUCCUAGCUGUAAACGAUGGAUACUAGAUGUAGGAACUGGAUUGACGGUUUCUGUAUCGUAGCUAACGCGUUAAGUAUUCCGCCUGGGGAGUACGGUCGCAAGACUA
rnacentral:rRNA from 1 species